CUGCUUAUAGAAACAGAAGCCCUUGGCCCUGGCCAAGAGAGGAAAAUCACCAGUUGGAAUAAAAAGUUUUAUGUUUGAACUAGAGAGCAGCCAAAGGUGCAGCGCCUAGCAGGAUGCAGUCGCCAAGCUGUCCUCCCAGAGGAACUCCAGGCUCUCGGAGGCCCAGACGCAGAGUUGGGGAGGGCUGAUGGCUUCAGCAUCAAACUUUGGGAGCUUUGCUCCCCAUCCGGAGGGGCAAUGGCAAGUGGAAUGCUUUCGACUUGGAUCCAGAAAAGAGGGGACAUGCCCUGGCCAAGGGAAUAUUACUGAGCCUGAUCAGAACACAGGCCUUAAAUAUUCUUCUGUGGUUUGGCUUGCUCUUCUGCCCUCUGUUAUGAAAAUAAAAGUCCCAGGUAGCCCCUGGUCCAGGGAGAACAAAGAGAUACGUAUUAGAGACCUAAACUCAGCUGUGGCCUGAAAUAGAGUCAUUUCCCUGUUUUCUCCCUGGAGGACUUUGCACACAUUUGGUCUGGUGGCAGCAUUCUCUCUAUCUUCAACUGCUGAGUCCUGUGAAUCUUC
rnacentral:lncRNA from 1 species